GCAAGUCGAACGGUAACAGGGUGCUUGCACCGCUGACGAGUGGCGAACGGGUUAGUAAUGCGUCGGAACGUGCCGAGUAGUGGGGGAUAACGUUUCGAAAGUUGUGCUAAUACCGCAUACGUACUGAGGUAGAAAGUGGGGGACCUUCGGGCCUCACGCUAUUCGAGCGGCCGACGUCUGAUUAGCUAGUAGGUGAGGUAAAGGCUCACCUAGGCGACGAUCAGUAGCGGGUCUGAGAGGAUGAUCCGCCACAUUGGGACUGAGACACGGCCCAGACUCCUACGGGAGGCAGCAGUGGGGAAUUUUGGACAAUGGGCGAAAGCCUGAUCCAGCCAUGCCGCGUGUCUGAAGAAGGCCUUCGGGUUGUAAAGGACUUUUGUCAGGGAGGAAAUCCCUAGUGCUAAUAACACUGGGGGAUGACAGUACCUGAAGAAUAAGCACCGGCUAACUACGUGCCAGCAGCCGCGGUAAUACGUAGGGUGCGAGCGUUAAUCGGAAUUACUGGGCGUAAAGCGUGCGCAGGCGGUUUGAUAAGCCAGAUGUGAAAUCCCCGAGCUCAACUUGGGAACUGCGUUUGGAACUGUCAGACUAGAGUGCGUCAGAGGGGGGUGGAAUUCCGCGUGUAGCAGUGAAAUGCGUAGAGAUGCGGAGGAGCACCGAUGGCGAAGGCAGCCCCCUGGGAUGACACUGACGCUCAUGCACGAAAGCGUGGGGAGCAAACAGGAUU
rnacentral:rRNA from 1 species